UCAACUUGAGAGUUUGAUCCUGGCUCAGAACGAACGCUGGCGGCAGGCCUAACACAUGCAAGUCGAGCGCACCUUCGGGUGAGCGGCGGACGGGUUAGUAACGCGUGGGAAUAUGCCCUUCUCUACGGAAUAGCCUCGGGAAACUGAGAGUAAUACCGUAUACGCCCUUCGGGGGAAAGAUUUAUCGGAGAAGGAUUAGCCCGCGUUGGAUUAGGUAGUUGGUG
rnacentral:rRNA from 1 species